rnacentral:rRNA from 1 species
CGAAGCAUGAGCUGUGAUGGGGAAGGAAAUUAAGUACGGAAGUUCCUGAUUUCACGCUGUCAAGAAAAGCCUCUAGGAAGAGUAGUACUGCCCGUACCGCAAACCGACACAGGGAGAUGAGGAGAGAAUCCUAAGGUGAGCGAGAGAACUCUCGUUAAGGAACUCGGCAAAAUGACCCCGUAACUUCGGGGGAGAAGGGGUGCUCUAUUAGGGUGCAAGCCCGAGAGAGCCGCAGUGAAUAGG